rnacentral:rRNA from 1 species
AACGAACGCUGGCGGCAUGCCUAACACAUGCAAGUCGAACGAGAUCUUCGGGUCUAGUGGCGCACGGGUGCGUAACGCGUGGGAAUCUGCCCUUUGGUUCGGAAUAACAGUUGGACACGACUGCUAAUACCGGAUGAUGACGAAAGUCCAAAGAUUUAUCGCCAGAGGAGGAGCCCGCGUAGGAUUAGCCAGUUGGUGAGGUACAGGCGCAUCAAGGCGACGAUCCUUAGCUGGUCUGAGAGGAUGAUCAGCCACACUGUGACUGAGACACGGCCGAGUCUGCUACGGGAGGCAGCAGUGGGCAAAAUCGGACAAAGGGCGAAAGCCUGAACGAGCAAUGCCGCGGGGGAGAUGAAGGCCUUAAGGUUGAAGAGGUCUUUUACCCGGGAGGAUAAUGGCAGUACCGGUGGAAUAAGCUCCGGCUAAGUACGUGCCAUCCUCCGCCAUAA